rnacentral:rRNA from 1 species
UAUUUGGAUGAGUUUCAGUUCUAAACCCCUUCACAAGUAUCAAUUAGGAGGGCAAGUCUGGUGCCAGCAGCCGCGGUAAUUCCAGCUCCAAUAGCGUAUAUUAAAGUUGUUGCAGUUAAAAAGCUCGUAGUUAAUCUUCUGUUAAUUUUUAUAUAUAAUAUCUCGAUAUUUAUAUAAUAUUAACAUAAUUCAUAUUACUUUUUAGUAUAUGAAACUUUACUUUGAGAAAAUUAGAGUGCUUAAAGCAGGCUAUUGCCUUGAAUACUCCAGCAUGGAAUAAUAUUAAGGAUUUUUAUUCUUCUUAUUGGUUCUAGAAUAAAAAUGAUGAUUAAUAGGAACAGUUGGGGGCAUUUGUAUUUAACAGUCAGAGGUGAAAUUCUUAGAUUUGUUAAAGACAAACUACUGCGAAAGCAUUUGCCAAGGAUGUUUUCAUUAAUCAAGAACGAAAGUUAGGGGAUCGAAGACGAUCAGAUACCGUCGUAGUCUUAACCAUAAACUAUGCCAACUAGAGAUUGGUAGGUUGUUCCUAUAC